CAUCCGCCAUUUUCAACUGAGACUUGCAUGUGCUUAGCAUCCUGGAUAGAAUCCAUCGCCAUCUGAGGAUUAUUUGGUUGGUUAGCUAGUUCUGUCUCCCAAUAGAUGCAACAAAAGUGGCUCAGAUGUGGUUGUUUUAAAUGUGGAAGUGCAGACAGUGUGCUGAAAGUGUUUUGACAAGGUACCAAUUACUAAAGCAUUACAGAUUAAAGCAUGG